AAACUUAAAUGAAUUGACGGGGGCCCGCACAAGCGGUGGAGCAUGUGGUUUAAUUCGAUGCAACGCGAAGAACCUUACCUACUCUUGACAUCCAGAGAACUUAGCAGAGAUGCUUUGGUGCCUUCGGGAACUCUGAGACAGGUGCUGCAUGGCUGUCGUCAGCUCGUGUUGUGAAAUGUUGGGUUAAGUCCCGCAACGAGCGCAACCCUUAUCCUUUGUUGCCAGCGGUUAGGCCGGGAACUCAAAGGAGACUGCCAGUGAUAAACUGGAGGAAGGUGGGGAUGACGUCAAGUCAUCAUGGCCCUUACGAGUAGGGCUACACACGUGCUACAAUGGCAUAUACAAAGAGAAGCGACCUCGCGAGAGCAAGCGGACCUCAUAAAGUAUGUCGUAGUCCGGAUUGGAGUCUGCAACUCGACUCCAUGAAGUCGGAAUCGCUAGUAAUCGUGGAUCAGAAUGCCACGGUGAAUACGUUCCCGGGCCUUGUACACACCGCCCGUCACACCAUGGGAGUGGGUUGCAAAAGAAGUAGGUAGCUUAACCUUCGGGAGGGCGCUUACCACUUUGUGAUUCAUGACUGGGGUGAAGUCGUAACAAGGUAACCGUAGGGGAACCUGCGGUUGGAUCACCUCCUUUCUG
rnacentral:rRNA from 1 species